CUGGAGUGAUGGGGGACGUUUAUCAUGGGGAUAUUGGGAUCCUUUGUCUGCACCACAGCCAUCAUCUCUGGUUACAUGUCAUCUUCUAUAUGCUUUGAGCGAAUACAAAUCCCCCUGAAGAAGACCAAAUUGUGGUCGAAACGUGUCGGGGUAUUCUUAUGGAAGCUACUUCAUCAAUGGCACUAUAUAUUAUUCCAUUGUAUCAUUUAACAUUUAAACAUUGUUGAGAUAGGUCUCCAACUGUCUGUAACCUGAAUGUAUUUAAUAUUACAACUAUCUGCAUCUUCAUUACUCAUGAUACAGAAACCUAGUAAAGAUUUUUUUUUUAUAUA